GGAGGGACAUGGUGGAGGAGCAGAGUGGAGGAGGUGGACGGCAGCCUCGUCAAGAUCCUCUUCCUGGAUGACAAGCGUAGUGAGUGGAUCUACCGCGGUUCAACCAGGCUGGAGCCCAUGUUCAACCUGAAGACCAACUGUGCCAACACCCAGGAGAAGAAGAUGGCUGGCCAGCAGAGGACACGCCCCAGCAUGGGAGCAUUGAGGACCAAGGGCCCCGUGGUCCAGUAUCACAGUGGGGGGAACACCAUAACCCCCAGUGGGACCCCACUAAAUCCCCCAUCCCCUCU